UACGUAGGGUGCAAGCGUUGUCCGGAAUUAUUGGGCGUAAAGAGCUCGUAGGCGGUUUGUCGCGUCUGGUGUGAAAAAUCCAGGGCUUAACCCUGGACCUGCAUCGGGUACGGGCAGACUAGAGUGCGGUAGGGGGAGAUCGGAAUUCCUGGUGUAGCGGUGAAAUGCGCAGAUAUCAGGAGGAACACCGGUGGCGAAGGCGGAUCUCUGGGCCGUAACUGACGCUGAGGAGCGAAAAGCAUGGGGGAGCGAACAGG
rnacentral:rRNA from 1 species